rnacentral:rRNA from 1 species
CAGAGGGUGCAAGCGUUAAUCGGAAUUACUGGGCGUAAAGCGCGCGUAGGUGGUUCGUUAAGUUGGAUGUGAAAUCCCCGGGCGUCAACCUAGGGACGUAGCAUUCUAAAACUAGUCGAGCUAGAGUAUGGUAGAGGGUGGUGGAAUUUCCUGUGUAGCGGUGAAAUAGCGUAGAUAUAGGAAGGAACACCAGUGGCGAAGGACGACCACCUGGACUGAUACUGACACUGAGGUGCGAAAGACGUGGGGGAGCAAACAGGAUU